rnacentral:rRNA from 1 species
UACGUAGGGUGCAAGCGUUAAUCGGAAUUACUGGGCGUAAAGCGUGCGCAGGCGGUUGUGCAAGACAGAUGUGAAAUCCCCGGGCUCAACCUGGGAAUUGCAUUGUGACUGCACGGCUAGAGUGUGUCAGAGGGGGGGUAGAAUUCCACGUGUAGCAGUGAAAUGCGUAGAGAUGUGGAGGAAUACCGAUGGCGAAGGCAGCCCCCUGGGAUAACACUGACGCUCAUGCACGAAAGCGUGGGGAGCAAACAGG